GUGCUCGCUUCAUCAGCACAUGUACUAAAAUUGAGACCAUACAGAGAAGAUUAGCAUGGUCCCUGUGCAAGGAUGAUACGUAUAUUUGUGAAGCAUCCCAUAUUUUU